CUUUUGUUUUGACUCGGUCUUACUUGUUGCCAUCUAAAAAAUCUCUCUCUCUCUCUCUCUCUCCCCCUCCUCGUCUCCGGCCAGUUCCUCCGAACUCAUUCUUUCGUUCUCUGAAAACGAUUCUGGAGUUAUGAAUUGGGUUCAACGAAAGAUCUAUCUUUACAAUGUGACAUUUGGGCUCUAUAUGUUGGAUUGGUGGGAGCGUUAUAUCUUCAAUAUUUUGGUCGUUGUGUUGCUGUGGUUCCUGUGUUACAAUGGGUCACGAUAUUUAAUGGAGUUCGGGAAGAGUGUCAGGCGUCUAUGGUGAGGACUGGAUGUAGCGUCGACCUGGAGUGUUCGGAUCGAUGACUGAGCGAUGAUUUGAAUGCAGCUGCACCACCGUGUGCUACACUCCGUAUUAAGAUUUGACUUGUGAAGUGUUGAUUUUGUGAGAGUAAUUGUGCAUGUCCUACACCAUUUUCUUGUGUUUUAGACUUAAAUUUCUGUUAAUAUAGCGGAUAGUUUUACAGUUGAUUUGUCGUUAGAUGAUGUGAUUCGUUUUACUUUCCACUCCUCGAAAGCUUUGUUAUUUAUUUGUUUUCCCCA